rnacentral:rRNA from 1 species
GACGAACGCUGGCGGCGUGCUUAACACAUGCAAGUCGAACGGAAAGGCCCUGCUUUUGUGGGGUGCUCGAGUGGCGAACGGGUGAGUAACACGUGAGUAACCUGCCCUUGACUUUGGGAUAACUUCAGGAAACUGGGGCUAAUACCGGAUAGGAGCUCCUGCUGCAUGGUGGGGGUUGGAAAGUUUCGGCGGUUGGGGAUGGACUCGCGGCUUAUCAGCUUGUUGGUGGGGUAGUGGCUUACCAAGGCUUUGACGGGUAGCCGGCCUGAGAGGGUGACCGGCCACAUUGGGACUGAGAUACGGACCAGACUGCUACGGGAGGCAGCAGUGGGGAAUAUUGCACAAUGGGCGGAAGCCUGAUGCAGAAACGCCGCGUGCGGGAUGACGGCCUUCGGGUUGUAAACCGCUUUCGCCUGUGACGAAGCGUGAGUGACGGUAAUGGGUAAAGAAGCACCGGCUAACUACGUG